rnacentral:rRNA from 1 species
GAUGAACGCUGGCGGUGUGCCUAAUACAUGCAAGUCGAGCGAACAGACGAGGAGCUUACUCCUCUGACGUUAGCGGCGGACGGGUGAGUAACACGUGGAUAACCUACCUAUAAGACUGGGAUAACUUCGGGAAACCGGAGCUAAUACCGGAUAACAUGUUGAACCGCAUGGUUCAACAGUGAAAGACGGUCUUGCUGUCACUUAUAGAUGGAUCCGCGUCGCAUUAGCUAGUUGGUAAGGUAACGGCUUACCAAGGCAACGAUGCGUAGCCGACCUGAGAGGGUGAUCGGCCACACUGGAACUGAGACACGGUCCAGACUCCUACGGGAGGCAGCAGUAGGGAAUCUUCCGCAAUGGGCGAAAGCCUGACGGAGCAACGCCGCGUGAGUGAAGAGGGUCUUCGGACCGUAAAACUCUGUUAUUAGGGAAGAACAAAUGUGUAAGUAACUAUGCACGUCUUGACGGUACCUAAUCAGAAAGCCACGGCUAACUACGUG